GCCUAUGAAUACAACAAC
rnacentral:snRNA from 1 species